rnacentral:rRNA from 1 species
CAACACGUGGCGGCAGGCUAACACACUGCAGUCGAGCGCGCCUUCGGGUGAGCGGCGGACGGGUUAGUAACGCGUGGGAACGUGCCCUUCUCUACGGAAUAGCCUCUGGAAACGGAGAGUAAUACCGUAUACGCCCUUUGGGGGAAAGAUUUAUCGGAGAAGGAUCGGCCCGCGUUAGAUUAGGUAGUUGGUGGGGUAAUGGCCUACCAAGCCUACGAUCUAUAGCUGGUUUUAGAGGAUGAUCAGCAACACUGGGACUGAGACACGGCCCAGACUCCUACGGGAGGCAGCAGUGGGGAAUCUUAGACAAUGGGGGCAACCCUGAUCUAGCCAUGCCGCGUGAGUGAUGAAGGCCUUAGGGUCGUAAAGCUCUUUCGCCUGUGAUGAUAAUGACAGUAGCAGGUAAAGAAACCCCGGCUAACUCCGUGCCAGCAGCCGCGGUAAUACGGAGGGGGUUAGCGUUGUUCGGAAUUACUGGGCGUAAAGCGCGCGUAGGCGGAUUAGAAAGUUGGGGGUGAAAUCCCGGGGCUCAACCCCGGAACUGCCUCCAAAACUGCUAGUCUAGAG